UCAGAGAUGAGACUGUGCCUUCGGGGAACUGUGAGACAGGUGCUGCAUGGCUGUCGUCAGCUCGUGUUGUGAAAUGUUGGGUUAAGUCCCGCAACGAGCGCAACCCUUAUCCUUUGUUGCCAGCGAUUCGGUCGGGAACUCAAAGGAGACUGCCAGUGAUAAACUGGAGGAAGGUGGGGAUGACGUCAAGUCAUCAUGGCCCUUACGAGUAGGGCUACACACGUGCUACAAUGGCAUAUACAAAGAGAAGCGACCUCGCGAGAGCAAGCGGACCUCAUAAAGUAUGUCGUAGUCCGGAUUGGAGUCUGCAACUCGACUCCAUGAAGUCGGAAUCGCUAGUAAUCGUAGAUCAGAAUGCUACGGUCGAAUACGUUCCCGGGCCUUGUACACACCGCCCGUCACACCAUGGGAGUGGGUUGCAAAAGAAGUAGGUAGCUUAACCUUCGGGAGGGCGCUUACCACUUUGUGAUUCAUGACUGGGGUGAAGUCGUAACAAGGUAGGCGUAGUGCU
rnacentral:rRNA from 1 species